rnacentral:rRNA from 1 species
CUGGUUGAUCCUGCCAGUAGCCAUAUGCUUGUCUAGAAGAUUAAGCCAUGCAUGUGUAAGUAUUAAUAGAUUUUAAUAGUGAAACUGCGAAUGGCUCAAUAAAACAGUUAUAGUUUAUUCGAUGAUGUUUUGUUAUUUGGAUAACCGUAGUAAUUCUAGGGCUAAUACAUGAACUAAAGAGGAGCAACUUAGAAGUGUUUCUCUGUAUUUAUUAGACUGAAAACUGGUACAGUAGCAAUACUGGCCCCUGGUUGAACCAUAAUAACUCUUACGAAUCGUAUGGCCUUGUGCCGACGAUGAAUCGUUCAAGUUUCUGACCUAUCAAUUCAAGAAGGUAGUGUAUUGGACCACCUUGAUUGUAACGGGUACGGAGAAUUAGGGUUCGAUUCCGGAGAGGGAGCCUGAGAAACGGCUACCACUUCCAAGGAAGGCAGCAGGCGCGCAAAUUACCCAAUCUCAAUACGAGGAGGUAGUGAAUAAAAAUAACAAUCCAGAGCUUGUUAAAAGUUUUGGAAUUGGAAUGAGAACAAUGUAAAUACCUUAACGAGGAACAAUUGGAGGACAAGUCUGGUGCCA